CAGCGAUGUUGCGGCAGCUGGUGUCUCUGGUGUCACGGCGGCGACUUGUGUCUGGGCGCGGCUUCCGUGAAGCGCGCUCUGCUGAUGGUUUCUCGACUGGCGCUUACAAGCAGUGGUGUUGUGGGAGCUGGAUCGGCAGUGUUGACACUAUACACUAGUGGCUCUGCAGGCUCGGCGUGCGUGUCUUUCAGAGCUGCACUGCUUUCUAGGCUUCGGCGGUACGUAGAUGGCUUGAGUCACAGAUGUGAUCUUCAAGGGUGCUUUUUUUUUUUUAUAAAUAAACCGGCACCUCCUGGCUGCACAGGACCAUCACCCCACUUCCCGACCAUGGCGAGUUCCCUUUUUCUUUGUAAUCUGAGAAA
rnacentral:lncRNA from 1 species